CCUUUUUGAAUCGGUCGCGCCAAAUCUACAACCGCCCUCCCCCCGUACUGUCGUGCAGGGAGGUGAUGUUGGGCUUGGCGCCCCGUACCCCACAGGUCAGGGUGGCUGACCGGCCCCACGCCGUGACGUAAGGGUUGGAAGGGCCCACGUUCACACGAGGUGGAACUGUCGGGUAUAGACAAGAUAGAAGAAGAACUUUAUUGCAAGGCAAUUGCAGCAGGACAGACAGGGGGCCGUGUACCGUCCUGUUCGCCAUUAACUCAGGGACGAUCCAUCACCCAGCUGACGCCACCUGGCAGACAGGACACGGAAAGGUGAUUAUUUUGGCAUUUGUCAACGUGCAACAAAAGAUGACACUGAAACAACUUCAGCAGAAGUGACAGCAGCUUCCCACCAGGUCUGAGUCUCAAGUGUAAUUAUCGAGUCCUCGACUUGAAUGGGUUCGCCGGCACUUUGUUACCGUGUGUGGCGACUGUGAACUGAUUUAAUCCACGGCAGACAGGGAAGGGAACAAAAGGUUUUCUCGGUGUUAAUUGGACAGCCCAACCGUGAUCACCGGCGCCAUCGUACGGCCCUCAGGACGGAUCGGGCGGGUUGAACUCGGGUAGCCCAGGCUGAACAGAACAAAUGGGAUCGGCCGUAGUGUGAACAUGGUGGUUAUCGACGGAAAUUCUUCAUAUCAAUCCUGUGUGGAGGCUCGUGUUCUGUGGUCAACCCCACAGCCUAUAGUAUAGUAGUUUUAACUAAGGUGCAACUCGUGCGACUGUUGAAUGCAAAUACGUAUUCAACUCUUGUCGAAAAUAAUCUAGUAACCAAUACCAAUGUAAUCUAAAAGAAAAUGAAACCAUAACUCGAGUCCACGGGUCAUCAGCUCAGAGUAAUUGAGUCAUCACUCGAAGAGCAACCGAAGAUUUGAGGUGAGCUGUCCUUGUUCACCUAACAGAGACGGUGGGCGAUAUA